UGUAACGAUAUCGCCUCGUCUUAUUAAUAUUAGUGUUGGGGUUGCGACUAGCUCAUGAACAAAAACACAUCUUACGUUAACGACAUUUUAAUAAGAGAGAGUAAAACAAAAAGGCGUUUCCGGACAUCACUUGUACAGUUCCGUAAAACAUAUAAACUGAAUUACACAUAUACAUAUAAUAUAUAUCUAAAUAUAUAACAUCCCCCGGC
rnacentral:lncRNA from 1 species